CGCCUGCGGUGUUUGUGUAAAUGCUUGUUUGCUUCUGAUUCAGAGGGUCCCUCGCAACACUGCUGUACUGUAACUGGAUAUGGGGUGUGAGACGACUUCAUACAGAGGAGUGCUUAUGUGAAAAAGAAAGAGUUGGAUGAAAAAACUAAGCAAACUGACAUUUGUGGGCAAUGAGGUUUUGUUCUGAGUCACCAGGAACGGUUUCCCUUUCUACUCAGUGACUUCCAGAAUCACCCAGGCUAGACAAAAUGUGCAUCAGAAACACUGCAUAUUUUCCACUCGUGAAAAGAACACAAGGCAUGAUGGGUAAGCAGCAUGCCCAGAAUCGCUCCGCUCUCUUUCCACUUUAUUCAACGUGGAGAAUAAAUCUUAAGCUAAGCAAAUAAAAAAACAUCACAGCACAUGUGUUACGUGUGAGUUUUGAGAAGACAAACCUUAUCAAAUAAAAAUUACUAUCCAUUAAGCAAUAUUUAAGUUUUACUUUCUAAAUUCUUCCUGAUUUUGUCAUGUCAGUUAUUUUGAUUAAAGGCCUUGAUUUUAAAAUUGUAAAUUAUGUAUUAAAGCACACAGCACUGCACAUGACCGUAAAUAAAUUGAUUAUUCAUUUAAAAUAAUAUUAUUUUUAGAUGCUUCAUAUAUAAAUUCUUUAAUAACAAUUCAAAAAAACCUUUUUAUAUAU